CCUAGCAACGUUAAGCACGACCAACAGCCCGUGCUGUUGAAUCGCAUGCUAACAAUGAUACUGGGCGCGUUACCUAACGUUAGCAUCUCCCGUUAUGUAGCUGUGGCAGUUAGUCACCGCUGGCUUAUAUUAUAGCUAGCAACCGUCUCGUUUUGAACAAAUUCAAAUAACGGUAGUUAGCAAGAUAAAGACACACAAUAAACGCCAGCUAAUAAUUCAAUGUGCCACUGUCCAUGUUUUUUUCAUUUAUUUAUGGCAACGCUAUGCUAACGAUAAACUGUUCUGUUAGCUUGCUAUUUGUUUGUAGCAGUUAGCAAUAGCAAUUAAGCUAGCCGAUAGUGUAACCGCAGCUAACUUAACUGGCUAACAUGCUGGAGUUUACACAUGUUUACAAUAAUACAAUCUUAAGCAGCAUUUACACACAGAGUCUGCAGAGUCCAGUCAGCGGCUAGUCGACACUCGUGUCCUGCAGAAAGCGUUUAACGAUAGAGUCCCGGGGGUCUCCGCCUCGAUGAUCCGCAUGUUUAUGUGGCCGCUUCAAUGUCUGAAGGGUAGCAGCAGCGAGCUAACGCUAGCUUGCAGCAAGUUAGAUCACAUCUAUAUGAGGAAACCUCACUGAAAGCAUUGGUGGUAAUUAGCCUGUGAGCUAGCCAGCAAAUAGCUAAUUACUACACGGCAAGCAGACGACAAAAAACAAUGACACGAUCUGAUCCAGGUGUCACGGUAACGUUAGCUGGUCCAGUCGCUAUGUCAUCUCGUCUGUCUCGCUCGCAGCAGCAGACCGGAGAUGCCGCUGCCUCGUAGAUGUAACGUUGACUCAACGCUGUGAACUGCUGCGCCAGCUAGUUCCUACAGGUCCAGGCAGCAGCUCAUGAUAUGACGAGAAAUUUGCACCAGUCACCACAUUGACUGCGUUUUACCUUUUCCUCUGGCUGUUUUUCGUCCAUCUGUCCUUCAUGGUGCCUGGAGUCCAGCAUUUUUGAAUUUGCCAGUGUGUAGAACUCUCUCUCCCACUGCUCCUGUUGCCGAUUGGCUGGAACAAUGUUGUGUGGCAAGGAAGAACACAUCUCCAAAGAAAAAAAGAAAAGGAAGAAACAAACAACUCUACAAUUCAAGGUAACAUAUGAACACAAAACUGAAAAAGCACUCCAGUACAAAACCAGGAUUUGUUUACAGCAUACCGCGUGGUGUUGUCAAACUCCCAUUGUACUUAUUUUGCAUGACUUAUGACUUUGUAAGCCCUUCCUCGACACCACAUCACUCACAAUAUAACUCAAAGCAACCAAACAUAUCCAACGAACAAGUGACCAUUCUUCACAUGAUUAAUGUAGAACGAUAAUGACUUGCGUUCAGAACAUUAUGUGCUAUACAGAGUUAAAUGACUAAAUCUAAUGCAUAAGUUUCACUCAUUGGACUGGUACAUAGAGAAAACAUAAGGACUAUGGCAAUGACAGUUACAAUCAAAUGAAUGGCCAACAAU